GCAAAAGUGACGGAAUGGUAGACGUGCAUGUUUGAGGGACAUGUGGAAUUAUCCUUAUGGGUUCAAAUCCCAUCUUUUGCACCA
rnacentral:tRNA from 1 species